AACAGAUAAGGAGCUUGCUCCUUUGACGUUAGCGGCGGACGUGUGAGUAACACGUGGGCAACCUGCCUCAUAGAGGGGAAUAGCCUCCCGAAAGGGAGAUUAAUACCGCAUAAGAUUGUAGCUUCGCAUGAAGUAGCAAUUAAAGGAGUAAUCCGCUAUGAGAUGGGCCCGCGGCGCAUUAGCUAGUUGGUGAGGUAACGGCUCACCAAGGCGACGAUGCGUAGCCGACCUGAGAGGGUGAUCGGCCACAUUGGGACUGAGACACGGCCCAGACUCCUACGGGAGGCAGCAGUGGGGAAUAUUGCACAAUGGGGGAAACCCUGAUGCAGCAACGCCGCGUGAGUGAUGACGGCCUUCGGGUUGUAAAGCUCUGUCUUCAGGGACGAUAAUGACGGUACCUGAGGAGGAAGCCACGGCUAACUACGUGCCAGCAGCCGCGGUAAUACGUAGGUGGCAAGCGUUAUCCGGAAUUAUUGGGCGUAAAGCGCGCGUAGGCGGUUUUUUAAGUCUGAUGUGAAAGCCCACGACUCAACCGUGGAGGGUCAUUGGAAACUGGAAAACUUGAGUGCAGAAGAGGAAAGUGGAAUUCCAUGUGUAGCGGUGAAAUGCGCAGAGAUAUGGAGGAACACCAGUGGCGAAGGCGACUUUCUGGUCUGUAACUGACGCUGAUGUGCGAAAGCGUGGGGAUCAAACAGGAUUA
rnacentral:rRNA from 1 species